rnacentral:rRNA from 1 species
ACCGGCAGCUCAAGUGGUGGCCAUUAUUAUUGGGCCUAAAGCGUUCGUAGCCGGUUUGAUAAGUCUCUGGUGAAAUCCCGCAGCUUAACUGGGGGACUUGCUGGAGAUACUAUCAGACUUGAGGUCGGGAGAGGUGAGGGGUACUCCCAGGGUAGGAGUGAAAUCCUGUAAUCCUGGGGGGACCACCUGUGGCGAAGGCGUCUCACUGGGACGACCCUGACGGUGAGGAACGAAAGCUAGGGGCGCAAACCG